GAAGGUGGGGACGACGUCAAGUCAUCAUGGCCCUUACGAGUAGGGCUACACACGUGCUACAAUGGCGAGUACAGAGGGAUGCAAACCUGCGAAGGUAAGCGGACCCCUUAAAGCUCGUCGUAGUCCGGAUUGGAGUCUGCAACUCGACUCCAUGAAGUCGGAAUCGCUAGUAAUCGCGGAUCAGAAUGCCGCGGUGAAUACGUUCCCGGGCCUUGUACACACCGCCCGUCACACCAUGGGAGUGGGAUGCAAAAGAAGUAGGUAGCUUAACCUUCGGGAGAGCGCUUACCACUUUGUGUUUCAUGACUGGGGUGAAGUCGGAACAAGGUAACCCUA
rnacentral:rRNA from 1 species